rnacentral:rRNA from 1 species
AGAGUUUGAUCCNGGCUCAGAACGAACGCUGGCGGCGUACCUAAUGCAUGCAAGUCGAGCGCGAAAGUCCUCUUCGGAGGGCGAGUAGAGCGGCGCACGGGUGAGUAACACGUGGGUAACCUGCCCUGGAGUCUGGAACAACCCGGGGAAACCCGAGCUAAUUCCGGAUACGGCGGGGGGAUCUUCNGUUCCCCUCGAGAAAGGUGGCCUCUUCUUGAAAGCUACCGCUCCUGGAUGGACCCGCGGNCCAUUAGCUUGUUGGUGAGGUAACGGCUCACCAAGGCUUUGAUGGGUAGCUGAUCUGAGAGGAUGAUCAGNCNCACUGGAACUGAGACACGGUCCAGACUCCUACCGGAGGCAGCANCAGGGAAUUUUGUCCAAUGGGCGCAAGCCUGAGACAGUAACNCCGCGUGUGGGAUGAAGGNCCUCGGGUCGNAAACCACUGUCGGAAGGGAAGAACAACCCG